rnacentral:lncRNA from 1 species
GUGCAAGAAAGCAGAAAACAAGUAUGGGGGAGAUCCCUCGACAUGCUAAACACACUCCGACUACACCACUCCACGAUUCAGGUACACACUCUGCACACUUUACUCUACACAUAUAUAUAUAUUAGAUUAUGUAGAAUAUUGUUCCCGACAUGAUAAAAUAAAAAGAUUAAAAUAUUUCUAAUCAUGAUUAAUCUCAAUCUGUGAUAUUUCCUGAAAACUUGCAAUUAGUAUAAAAUCAUUUUUUAAAACCCUGUGUUACUUAAGUCAAGAUGGAAUAUGUGAUGGUAGAGUAUGAGUUUCUUAUUCUUGAUAUCAUUGUUGCUUGGAGAAUUUAUUUCAAAAUGUUCAAAUUCCUAGCUACCAUCCUCAGUGUUUUAUAUGCCUGAUAAAACUGAAAUAUUAAAUAUGAUUAUAAAAGCUAUUUGCUCUGUAUUGAGUUUGUUCAAAAUGAGUUAGACCCUUGUUGAGAGAUUUAUCAUGCUCCUAAGAUCAAGACAUUAUUUCAGUAAGAUUCACUCUUCCGAAGUAUUAUUGCAUUAGAGGCAUGGGCUAUGCAAAAAUAGAAGAUAUUUCGAGGAAAUAAAAAGGAGCAAGUGCUCGACAACCUCGCAGAAAAAAUGGACAAGUGUCCAGCAGUAGAAUUAGGGGUACCUCGGUAUCCACUUAAAAAAAAGAGAAAAAAAAUGAUAGCCCAUGGUCCCUCUAAUAAGCAAUAUGCCAGCAAGAGUUGACAAAGUUUUUAAUUUCCAAAGUCUUUGAUCUAAGAGUAUGACAUUUCCCUCCUCGGAUCCCGUUUUGAUCAGGCAAUAAAUCCAAAGUAAGUAUGCUUGAGAAUUUUUGCAAAAUAAAACAGCCUCAGUGAGAUAUAUAUAUAAAAGAUAAUGAGUGAUCUGAGAGAACCUAUGAGGAUCAAAAAGGUAUGCUAACUUUCUUUCAAAAAUAUACAAAAACUCCAAGUGACAGGAUUGAAAAGAAAGAAUCUAUACACUUAACCAUACACAUCCCUGACUAUGGUACACAGUGGAAUUUUUAACACCCUGCAAUUAUAAAGAGAAUGUUUUAAAUGUUUACCCCAGAUAUUAUUCUUAACCAUCCUUUUCUCGAGGAUGAGUAAAAGCCUAAGUAUGGGGGUAUUUGUUGAUGGUUCUUAAGUAUCAAUUUUAAUUAUCAAAUAAACAUGAGAAAGGACCAAUAUGCAACCAUCACCUAGAAUUAGGGUUUGAUCUGACAGAAUUCCACGAGUUUUGUUGUUUAUCUAUUUCUGCAGGGGGUUAUCAGGAAAUAAGGAAGAAAGGCCCACAUGUCGGGAUUACAUAGAGAUAUCAACGCACCGCGUAAUUUUACAUCAUCUAGAAGACUCCAGAAGCCACGAGACCGAAGCGGAGGCAAAGCUGGGCCAGGCCCAGGGCGCCCGCCCUGGUAGCCUGGGCGCCCGCCCCCCUGCUGGAGUCAAUUCAGGACUCCUUCGCUCGGGAUAUUCCACCGACCUAUUGGAUCAAGAAAAACAUAGUACCACCUCGGCUAUCGACCCAAAAACACAUAGAAGGGGAGGACUAUAUAAGCGAGGCCCCCCUGGCCCCUGGAAGACAUGAAGAAAUUAUCAUAGAGACUGAGGGGUGCCCUCGAAGGAAAACCUCUUCUCUAAUUAAUAUUUCUUUUUAGGCUUAGCAAUCAAUGUAAGGUAGAAAUAGAUCUUCUAGUUUCUACUAGAUCGAGAGAUAUAGAGUGGAGGUGUAGAG